rnacentral:rRNA from 1 species
UACGUAGGGGGCAAGCGUUGUCCGGAUUUAUUGGGCGUAAAGAGCUCGUAGGCGGUUUGUCGCGUCUGCUGUGAAAACCCGAGGCUCAACCUCGGGCCUGCAGUGGGUACGGGCAGACUAGAGUGCGGGUAGGGGAGACUGGAAUUCCUGGUGUAGCGGUGAAAUGCGCAGAUAUCAGGAGGAACACCCGAUGGCGAAGGCAGGUCUCUGGGCAUUAA